AACCCAAGAAUUAGGCAAUUUAGAUGCAGAGAUAGCAGCCGGGAUAUUAAAUAACUCGAUAAGCGAUCGCAGAAGGAGCAGGGAGAAAAACGAGCAGCUCGACACGGAAGAGGUUCCCCCGGUCCCGGCUCCACAGUGUUCCCAAAUUUUUGGGAAUUCAGCUAUCAAGUCCCCAGCUCUCAUUCAAUCAGUUUGAGCCCCCAGUGUCUGGGUGAGCAGGGCAGGAGAAGAAAACAGCACUUGACAACCCAACUAAACACAACUCUGAGAAAACAGGACCUCCAUCCCCAUGGGGGAGUUGCGAGAGGAAAGCGUUCCCGGACACACAGCGCCAGACAUCCCGGCGGUGCUACAUCCCAAACACAUUUCCCCGGCUUUUCCCAAGCCCAGCUGCUGCCGGUGSCCCCGGCCGGCUCACAGCAGGCAGGCACAGCCCCUGCCGCCCGCGGAGCUCUUACCGCUCAUCAUCAGCAGCACGAACAUCUUUGCCCGCUGUGCUUCCCGAGCCCCAGCUGCCGGCACCAGCAAGGAGGAAGCGCCGGCGUUUCAUUCCCCUCCUGCUCCAGAGUGGGUGUAACUCGCGAAGUUUCACGCUGAGAUGAGAUGGGUCAAUUGGGCUUCAGACGAGCUGCCACUCAACCCCGCCGGCUCCUGAAAUCUGAAUUCCUAAGGACAUCCCUCCGGGGUGACUUUAACUCACCAGGAACUGAAUCCCCAGCCAGCCCCAGUCAGAGGCGACUCGCUGCUGCUGCAUUCCGAGUGCUCCACAGCCCCUUCCCCACGCAUGGUCCCUGCGACUCCGCUGCAAUUGCAGGGAGCAGAUCACCAGCAGGACAGAAAAUAAAGAAAUUCUGACCUACUCCRCACCUUUGCUGCUGCCCUCGAUUCCCUCAGAACCCCGAGGGUUCCCUGGGCACAUAUCCGGACGGCGCUUCUGGRGAGGACGCGUUAAAAACACACCCGCAGCUGCUCCCACGAGCUGCCCACAGGUGCAGGAGGGUUUCCAGGAUCAGGAACUCCAGGGAAUUAAAAAUUACACGUAGAUCUGGUUUUACUUAAUUCCCUACUUCUCCAUAACUGUCUGUGGAUUAAGAUCUGAGUGGCAGCAUCCUCCAGACCAGGGCUGGCUAAUGGUUGCUAUAAAUAAGAAAUACCAACACAAAACCCAAAUCAUCUGUUUAUCCCCCAACUUCCCCCACCUUGCCUCUGCACCACAUACAUGGGAGAAGAAAAACAGGUAUUAAACUGCUCUGGAAACGAAGCAGACAACACAGUAAAUAUUCUUUACAAGCAGAAAUCGAAUUAAUUAACAAAUUAACAUUUACAGCUCUGAGUGACACUUCACAAACACUGAAUAUUGAGCAAUAACUGUACCCUUGCAGUCCCGCCCUCUGCAACCCAGCAGUGACCGCAAGUUGGGAAAAGGACGGAACUGUCAGGAAAAGAACAAAAUAAAAUGGCAAAAAACACGUGCAGGAGCCCGGUUCUGGCCCAGGGCUGCUGUGGGACUGCACGGGUUUAACAGCUGCACUGAGGCUGAGGGGCUCCACACGGCCGGGUCCUGGGUGGGUGCCRGGGCAGAGCAGGGAGGACAGGGUUCGAUUUUGGGACAGGGACAAGAUAUCAGAGAAGCCAUCUGGCAUGGCAGAGUGAUCCCUGCAGCCCCCAUGACCAGGAACAGGAGUGAGCAGUGACCUGGAGCCCACUUCAAACAGCACGUUGGGUUUAACCUCACCUCUGAGCACCUGCAGCCUCAGAUGUUCCCGACAGAUCCACCCACGCCCAGCACGACGUUCCCAGAGACCACAGGACACCUAAAAGCACCAGAGCGCUCACCCCUGACAGCUGCACGGGGCUGGCGGAGGGAUGGGAUCAGACACUCUGUUUGGACUGGGGAGCACUGAAACAAUCAAUCCUCAACUUUAUGGAGAAUUUAAACCCGGAAUGAGCAAACCAACAGCUCCCACUUGCAGGACAAACAAGCGGGAGAGAAGUGUUCAGCGCUGGGAGCUCACAAAGCUGAGCAGACGAGCAGGUUUGGCGAGACACGAGUGACUCAGAGGGCGACGGGGGCUGCUGCUGCUGCUGCCUUCGGGUUCGCCUGGGCAUGGCCACGUCCAGCCCACUGAACAGGUGGCCUUGGAGGAGCAGCCUGUCUCCACCACCCAGACAACCGGAGCCACCCUGCUCUUUCUGCUGGUCGGUGGAGCUCCUGAGGUGAUUAUCACCUAAUUUUGAUCCAGCCUGUUUCGGGACAUGACCUGGGGCCCACCAGCCACUAAUCACUAUCAGGAACACCCCCGGGGAACAGCGAGGAGCUCAUGUCCAGUUUAGAGCUUCUCUGAACAUCCCACAAGCACAGACAGAGCUGGCGGCGCUCGCAGGCACCGGGCACACGUCACUGGGACACUGGUGCCCUUUUCCACGGAAUCCUGGAAAAACUGCAGCCCUACAAAUGAGACCUGGCCUUCAAAGCUCCCUCGUGGAGGACGAGGCCAAGCCGUGCACUGGCUCUGACCCCAGAAUCCCAUUCCUGUGCCUGUGUAGCUUCACACACCUGGCAGGAGCCAAGGGCUGUCUCUGUAGGUGAGGACAGUUUGACUCAAGCCAUCUCAUAUUCAAUAACAAAAUGAAGAAGAAAAUUAAYCUAGCUUGCAUUAUUUUUUUAAAAACUUCAGCUUUCAAACUGGACUCCUGUGAUGCAGCUCCUCACAAGAGGGCACUGAUGGAAAACCGUCCCACUGCCAUCAGAAUGACUUCUACCCCCUCAAACUGAUSUGAGGACUGCCUGACUUCACUUUGUCCAAUAAAAACCUGCAAGCCAACCCUUGGCAAUUACAGAACAUUAAUAYCAUGAAAAAUUCUACUGGGUUGAAUGUAUCUGUAUUCCCUGCUAUCAGAAAGAUUUUCUCAGCCUCAUGUUUCUGUUUGGGAUUAGGAUGGAGUUGUGAAAGGCAAGUAUUGUUCAGUCACAAAUAGUUCCCUUUCAGCCCCUACACAAGUCAGGUAAUGAGUUACAGGAGGCUUUUUUCCCUUUGGAGAGGUCAGCAGAUAUAUCAGCUCCUGGGAAAGCUGAUCCCCGCUGUUUGGCUACAAGGGGAGCUGAAAAGGUUCCUAAUGAGCUGCAGGGAGAGGAUGCUGGCAGCGAGCCAGCACCUUUGCCGUGGAACCAAGACAAAUGACAAGAGGCAGGAGCCACCUCUGGCCGGAGCACAAGUUCAAAUUUAAGGUUUGCAUUUCACAGCGCUGCCUGUGGCUGGCAGCUCUCACACUGAUGUGGGCACUCUGCUUGCAGACACCCAGAGCACAUCCUGAGCUGAAGGGACCCACAGGAUUAUCCAGCCCAGCCCCUGUCCCUGCACAAACCCCCUAACAAUCCCACCCUGUGCAGUCCCAAUGCUCCUGGAGCUCGGGCAGCCUCAGGGCCAUCUCAUCCCUGUGCCAUGGGAAGGCUCAAGGAGGAACAUUUUGUUCGAGACCCUUGGUGCAAACACCUCCUCUCAUCUCUCUGAAACAAGGCGGUAGCUGCUGUCAUUUUCAUGCCGCGUUCUGACACGCUUCCACCACAUCCCUGCCAAUAGUUUUAAUUUCGCUGGAAAAAUCAGCUCUGAACGAGAGUGACAAGCUGCACGCUGGUGACGACGCUGUCAAGUGAUGGAUAAUGUAGGUUUACUUUAGCUGUCAAAACUUUUCAGCGCUAAAAAUAGGUAUCACAAGCUUUUGGACUCGCUGCGCUGAAACAUUAAACAGCCAGGAUAUUGACACCCUCAGAAGCGCCCAAAGCCACUCAAAGCUGAGUGAAACCAGCAGGGUGUGAUGGACAGCAAAGGUCUCUGAGUGCUGCUUAUUUUGAGAAGAGAAAAACAACACAGCRCAGAGAUAAAUCUCAUCUCCACGCCAGCCAAAGCCAAGACAUGCUGCACACACCCCGUGAAACUCAACAGCACARUACAGGAUGCAAACACGGGCAGAGAGAGAAAAGCUUAGCAGAGAAAACCUUGUAGCCUGUUAUCCCAGCUCUUGGUCCAGAUCCUACAGAAACGGAGAGCAGAGACCUUCCCACAGCAGCUCCUCCCUCACCUGCCCCAGCCCAGCACAGAAGGGCACAGAGCUAUGAGGCUGGGAGGGAUGGCAAAGCCUGGGAAAAGCACGGGGCUUUGCCAGAGGACUGAGAUUUCCAUGAGCUCUCCCCAAGCAGUGACCACAGAUGGACACCAGGCAGGCAGCAGCUCGCCAAAGUGGACAAUGGCAUAGGAGGAGCAGGGGGAAAAGGGACCAUUUACAAACCAAACCCAGCUUUUCUAUUCCCUCUGAGGCACUGAGAUGACAAUCACAGGCAGAGCUGUCCCAACAUUAGGCCAAUAUUUAUGGCAGAAAUAAAACGAAGCAUCGUAAGGAAUYACUAAUUAGGUGUUAUCAUAACCCUGGGUAUAACUGAAGCAGCACUCUGAUGUGCUUUGUAAAUAAUUAGCAAAUUAACUUCCACAGUGCCCCUGCAUAGCAAGUAUUAUCCCCAUCUCCUGCAAGGCCCUGAUGGAAAAAAAAACAAUUUGGGCAGAUUGCUCCUCUGCUGUGGAUGACUGCUGAGCUGCCCAAACACAGGGAGGGGACAUCAAACAGGAGGGAAUUGGAGGCAGGGGGUCCCAGGGGGACCUUGUGGCUCCGCACAAAUCCCUGACAGGAGGGGGCAGCCUGGGGGGGUCGGGCUUUGCUCCCAGGGAACAGGGACAGGAGGAGGAGCAGGGUGGACAUCAGCAGGAAUUUCUCCAUGAAAAGGGUGGUCAGGGAUUGGAACUGCCCAGGGAGGUUUGGAGUGCCCAUCCCUAGARGUGUCCCAGGAAGGGCUGGAGUAGGCACUGRGUGCUCUGGGCUGGGGACACAGUAGGGAUGGGACACAGCUACGAUUUGRUGGCCUCAGAGGUAUUUUCCAGUUUAAAUGACUCUGUGAUUCCACGAUCCCUCCUGUACUGGAGGCAGGAGCURGGAGGGGAAAUGCUCUCCACUCCAACAGAUCCAAGGACAACUCAGAGCACCUGCUCCUCUGCAGAUGGAGCAAACUGAGCCCACGGCACCACGCACAGACUGUCAGUGCCUGCUCGCUCCAGGGUUGGGGCAGAGCUUCCCUGGCAUCCAGUUCACCUUCCACCCAAGCGGCAAGCCGCCUUGCUCCCUYCUUCUCCCACACAGAGGUUCCCCAUGGAGCAGGGACCGGAGCAGCACCAUGGACACCCACAGCCUCCGGUGUCACCGUCACCUUCCCCCGCCUGCGGAGCUGGCUGGCACAUCCAAAGCYCAGUCACCCCUCAGCAGCUCCCUGCCAAGUGGUGGGAGUGGGAAGGGAGGGGAAAGGAAGAGGGCAGGAGCACCAACGCUGCCGUGCCUCCGUGCCGGAUGCGCGCUCCCAAAGAGGCAGACUCGCGUCUAUUUUAGAUGUGCUGCAUAAAA